AGAUAGCGCCAAUACUCUACGCGCCCGAACUACCACUACCCGCCGACGCAGUACUCAACUAUAACAGAACACUUCAUAGGAUUAACGCAAUCUACACCGCGCCUUCAGGACUGGAGUCUACGAGCUUGGUGCUGGCUACCGGCUUGGACUUAUUCUACACGCGGGUGGCGCCAAACAAAACGUUCGACUUACUCAAAGACGACUUCGACUAUUACCUGAUCACCGUAGUGCUGGGAGCCCUCAUACUUGCCACGUAUAGCACCAAAUACUUUGCGGCGCGUAAGAUGCUCAAGAUGGCUUGGAAGUGAUCGCGAGGCGACGGCGGCGCGACUGUGGCGAUCCACUCCGGUAUUGGUUCGGUGUUAAGCGCUUAAUCUAACAUCGAGAGGAAAGUGAACUUGGAAAUAUUUAACUUGAUUUAUGUUUGUCUUGUGCUGUCUUUAAUUUGGUAGAUGACAACACCGGUCUAUUGGCAAAUUAGCAGUCAGCCCAAAUAAUGUUACCGACUGUAAUAUUUAGUACCAAAAACAGUAUUAGCUUAAGCGCUAAACAAAAAGUAAUAUCCAACACCGUCGUCUUCACAGUCCAAAUCAUCAAUAAAAUAUAAAUAUAUACUUUAUAUAAAUAUAGCCUCGUGAUUCGUGUAUAGUGAGUGUUCACGUAAGUAAAUAAAUAAAAAGUAAACAGUUAUUGGUUAACUAAUCUCUGUAAAGCUCGAUUCACACAUAUCAGUGAAGCUACAGUUCCGUCACAGUACCGGCACGCAUCCCAUACAUCUGACAAGUGUCAGUGUCAGUGACGAUAGAAACUGCAUGAAAGAAUAUUUCGCACUGUGACGGAACUGUGGCUUCACUGAUAUGUGUGAAUCGAGCUUAAUAGUUCACAAAUUACACGUCAGUAAUAUUUAUUAGAGAUCAAUAAGAGAUCAAAUUAAUUUGAGAACUACUUGUAUUCAGUUUAUUGCGACGUGAUCUAUUUAUUUAGCAUGAAUUUUAAAAUGUUUUAAAAACGUUAAGUUUGUGAAACUGGAAAAUGUUAAUAAAACGUUCUGAAGUUAUUUUAUAUCAAAAACAUAUCGCAAAGGAAUGAAGGAAGCUAAUGAAAAUUAAUAGAACUAUUAUUUAUUCACUGUAAAAUAUGUAAAUAGAUUACGUUGCAAAACCUCUCAGUUUAUGUAUAAUUAGCUAGUGCAAUGUAGUCAUAUUGUAUUAUUUAUUUACAAGUGAUAAGUAACACUUGUUAUCAAAAAUCAUUCCAGGAUUAAUACUUACCUAAAAUUUAUUGAAUAGCAAAUACCUGGAUUA